rnacentral:piRNA from 1 species
UGAGUAGCUGGGAUUUGAUGUGCACCACAUU